AGCAGCCGCCGCGGUAAAACGAAGGGUGCAAGCGUUAAUCGGAAUUACUGGGCGUAAAGCGUGCGUAGGCGGUUUGUUAAGUCUGUUGUGAAAUCCCCGGGCUCAACCUGGGAAUGGCAAUGGAUACUGGCAAGCUAGAGUGCGUCAGAGGAUGGUGGAAUUCCCGGUGUAGCGGUGAAAUGCGUAGAGAUCGGGAGGAACAUCAGUGGCGAAGGCGGCCAUCUGGGACAACACUGACGCUGAGGCACGAAAGCGUGGGGAGCAAACAGGAUUAGAUACCCGCGUAGUCUCUGUCUCUUAUAC
rnacentral:rRNA from 1 species